UACAGAGGUCCCGAGCGUUGUUCGGAUUCAUUGGGCGUAAAGGGUGUGUAGGUGGUUGGGCAAGUCAGAUGUGAAAUCCCGUCGCUUAACGACGGAAUGGCAUUUGAUACUGCCUGACUAGAGGAUCGGAGGGGGCAACGGAAUUCUUGGUGUAGCAGUGAAAUGCGUAGAUAUCAAGAGGAACACCGGUGGCGUAGGCGGUUGCCUGGAAGAUUCCUGACUCUGAAACACGAAAGCCAGGGGAGCAAACGGG
rnacentral:rRNA from 1 species